rnacentral:rRNA from 1 species
AUUGAACGCUGGCGGCAGGCCUAACACAUGCAAGUCGAGCGAGCGGCGGACGGGUGAGUAAUGUCUGGGAAACUGCCUGAUGGAGGGGGAUAACUACUGGAAACGGUAGCUAAUACCGCAUACCAUCAGAUGUGCCCAGAUGGGAUUAGCUAGUAGGUGGGGUAACGGCUCACCUAGGCGACGAUCCCUAGCUGGUCUGAGAGGAUGACCAGCCACACUGGAACUGCGCCCCGGUCCGGACUCCUACGGGAGGCAGCAGUGGGGAAUAUUGCACACUGGGCGCAAGCCUGAUGCAGCCAGGCGGCGUGUUUGAAGAAGGCCUUCGGGUUGUAAAGCACUUUCAGCGGGGAGGCGUUACCCGCAGAAGAAGCACCGGCUAACUCCGUGCCAGCCGCCGCGGUAAUAC